rnacentral:ncRNA from 2 species
UGCUCAUCCAGAGGGGUACAGGGACACGGCCCGACGACGCCCCAGCAACCAGCUCCACCGUCCACCCAGGACACCGGAGCCAGGUGCUCAUUCCGUCCCGACCAGAGAGGUCGGGAAAGAUGACCA